AUCUGUUUGUAAUACAUGAUUGAUCAGAUUUUUAAUGUAACUCCUGCAGUUACAGCACGAACUUAACACUUAAUAGAUCUAAGAGACUCUCCACAUGAGAGAAAAUUUCCCUGAAAUUGGUCCUCUCCUGUGCCUCAGCUAGGUACAGAUUUUCAACCGUGCCUCCACAAGCUCUUCCUCGUGUGAACCCUCAAAUACUGCAGAUGAGUUACAUCAGUGAAGGUGAUUCUUGGAGGAGAUAUGAUUUCCACAUCCCACUUGGACAUUGAUGGGGGCCAAGAGGACUGAUAUACUGGGAAACUGUCUGCCUGCUGUCAGAGGCUGGCUGUUUAUGAGGUGUGACAUGGGCCACAGAGGAAGGAUGAAACUGGAAGGAAAUGAGCUUGGAUGCUCUGUGGGACGCGUGUCCCAGGACUGGGGUCUGUCCCUGGCAGAGAAGCGUUUCUGUGGAUGGGCUCUGUGCCUGUGGGGGUUCCUGGCUGCUGUGCUGGGGUGCACUCACCGCUGCCUUCAACCGCAGGGCCCCCAUGAAAGUGCAAACAUCUUGUGUUGCACUGCAGUGGGGUUGCAGUUGCUGAUGGCUGUGUGGGAGCGGGCCACCUGCCAUGAGCCCUGCACCAGUGAGCAGGGGGCCUGGGCAGGGGCCUCUCCCUAGGGUCUCGCAGCUCCUCAUCCCGCACUGGCCUGGGGAGCCCCACGAGUGCCUAGGGGGCUGCCUGGUAGCAGCAGCGUGGCUUCAGGGCCCUCC